rnacentral:rRNA from 1 species
UGGGGAAUUUUGGACAAUGGGGGAAACCCUGAUCCAGCCAUGCCGCGUGUGUGAAGAAGGCCUUCGGGUUGUAAAGCACUUUCGGACGGAACGAAAUCGCGCGGGUGAAUAUCCCGCGUGGAUGACGGUACCGUAAGAAGAAGCACCGGCUAACUACGUGCCAGCAGCCGCGGUAAUACGUAGGGUGCAAGCGUUAAUCGGAAUUACUGGGCGUAAAGCGUGCGCAGGCGGCGCCGCAAGUCAGGCGUGAAAUCCCCGAGCUCAACUUGGGAAUUGCGCUUGAAACUACGGUGCUGGAGUAUGGCAGAGGGAGGUGGAAUUCCACGUGUAGCGGUGAAAUGCGUAGAGAUGUGGAGGAACACCGAUGGCGAAGGCAGCCUCCUGGGCCAAUACUGACGCUCAUGCACGAAAGCGUGGGGAGCAAACAGGAUUAGAUACCCCCGUAGUCC